UGCUGGAUGGCUGAGAGGGGAGGAAAGCAAGGGGUUGCUGGAGAGGGGGGAAAUAGUGACGUUUAAGCACGAGAAAGUGACCGAGCUCGCUAAUGGCAAAUCCUGGUUGCGGUGGCUUUUAGUGCUCUGCGAAAACACGUUAUAAUUGCAGGAUCUCAAAGGCAGGAUGAGAAGGAUGAUCUGAUAGAGUUGCACUGAAUCCGAGAUGGGCCGAUCCUUUAGUUGAGAAUGGCAGAGGAAGUUCGUACAGUGAAGGGAUUUUUCUGGCUCAGACACAGAUUCGUGCCUGCAGAUCAAAGCUCAAGAGUCACAGUUCCCUCGUGCAGACUACAGAAUCCAUUUCACAUGAGCAAUACACUUUGGGAAAUCCCUGAAGCCAGGUGGAAAUAAGGAACACCAAUAGAAAAGAACCACUGUCAACUCAAAGCAGCAUACAAAGACACAGAGCUCCCAGUGGCAGAGAUCCUUGCCAGCAGGGCUCCCAUCUGGACAGAGGAAUCCUUUGAAAUAUAUUUCUCUUCUACAGACUACUGCAAAUGCCCUAUACAUAAAACCUCAUGAGCCCUGGUUUUAUUUUGGACAGCA